rnacentral:rRNA from 1 species
AAGCGAUGGCGACCGGCGCACGGGUGAGUAACACGUAUCCAACCUGCCGAUAACUCGGGGAUAGCCUUUCGAAAGAAAGAUUAAUACCCGAUGGCAUAAUAGAACCGCAUGGUUUGAUUAUUAAAGAAUUUCGGUUAUCGAUGGGGAUGCGUUCCAUUAGGCAGUUGGUGGGGUAACGGCCCACCAAACCUUCGAUGGAUAGGGGUUCUGAGAGGAAGGUCCCCCACAUUGGAACUGAGACACGGUCCAA